rnacentral:rRNA from 1 species
UACGUAGGGACCUAGCGUUGUCCGGAAUCAUUGGGCGUAAAGCGCGUGUAGGCGGCUUGCCAAGUCCGGUGUGAAAUGUCGGGGCUUAACCCCGGAACUGCACUGGAAACUGGCUUGCUUGAGUCCGGAAGAGGGGACUGGAAUUCCUGGUGUAGCGGUGAAAUGCGCAGAUAUCAGGAAGAACACCCGUGGCGAAGGCGGGUCCCUGGGACGGUACUGACGCUGAGACGCGAAAGCGUGGGGAGCGAAC